rnacentral:rRNA from 1 species
CAUGCAAGUCGAGGGGAAACGGCAUUUAGUGCUUGCACCGAAUGGACGUCGACCGGCGCACGGGUGAGUAACGCGUAUCCAACUUUCCCAUAACUAAGGGAUAACCUGCCGAAAGGCAGACUAAUACCUUAUGUAAUCCUUUGAUGGCAUCAGAUUAGGAUUAAAGAUUUAUCGGUUAUGGAUGGGGAUGCGUCUGAUUAGCUUGUUGGCGGGGUAACGGCCCACCAAGGCAACGAUCAGUAGGGGUUCUGAGAGGAAGGCCCCCCACAUUGGAACUGAGACACGGUCCAAACUCCUACGGGAGGCAGCAGUGAGGAAUAUUGGUCAAUGGACGGAAGUCUGAACCAGCCAAGUAGCGUGCAGGAAGACGGCCCUAUGGGUUGUAAACUGCUUUUGUAUGGGGAUAAAGUCAAUCACGUGUGAUUGUUUGCAGGUACCAUACGAAUAAGGACCGGCUAAUUCCGUGCCAGCAGCCGCGGUAAUACGGAAGGUUCGGGCGUUAUCCGGAUUUAUUGGGUUUAAAGGGAGCGUAGGCCGGAGAUUAAGUGUGUUGUGAAAUGUAGACGCUCAACGUCUGACUUGCAGCGCAUACUGGUUUCCUUGAGUACGCACAACGUUGGCGGAAUUCGUCGUGUAGCGGUGAAAUGCUUAGAUAUGACGAAGAACUCCGAUUGCGAAGGCAGCUGACGGGAGCGCAACUGACGCUGAAGCUCGAAGGUG